rnacentral:rRNA from 1 species
GUAGCUUGCUACUUGACCUAGCGGCGGACGGGUGAGUAAUGCUUAGGAAUCUGCCUAUUAGUGGGGGACAACAUCUCGAAAGGGAUGCUAAUACCGCAUACGUCCUACGGGAGAAAGCAGGGGACCUUCGGGCCUUGCGCUAAUAGAUGAGCCUAAGUCGGAUUAGCUAGUUGGUGGGGUAAAGGCCUACCAAGGCGACGAUCUGUAGCGGGUCUGAGAGGAUGAUCCGCCACACUGGGACUGAGACACGGCCCAGACUCCUACGGGAGGCAGCAGUGGGGAAUAUUGGACAAUGGGGGGAACCCUGAUCCAGCCAUGCCGCGUGUGUGAAGAAGGCCUUUUGGUUGUAAAGCACUUUAAGCGAGGAGGAGGCUACCGAGAUUAAUACUCUUGGAUAGUGGACGUUACUCGCAAAAUAAGCACCGGCUAACUCUGUGCCAGCAGCCGCGGUAAUACAGAGGGUGCAAGCGUUAAUCGGAUUUACUGGGCGU